rfam:Schistosoma rodhaini strain Burundi genome assembly, scaffold: SROB_scaffold0000015
AUCCAACUGAUUAGUCACAAAUAGGACGAAAUGCGCGUCAAACUGGAU